UGUGGCCUACGGGGGGCAGCAGUGAGGAAUAUUGGUCAAUGGCCGCAGGGCUGAACCAGCAACGCCGCGUGAAGGAAGAAGGCUUUCGGGUUGUAAACUUCUUUUGUCAGGGACGAAGCAAGUGACGGUACCUGACGAAUAAGCCACGGCUAACUACGUGCCAGCAGCCGCGGUAAUACGUAGGUGGCAAGCGUUAUCCGGAUUUAUUGGGUGUAAAGGGCGUGUAGGCGGGAAUGCAAGUCAGAUGUGAAAACUAUGGGCUCAACCCAUAGCCUGCAUUUGAAACUGUAUUUCUUGAUUGCUGG
rnacentral:rRNA from 1 species